AAGCUCGUAGUUGAAUUUCGGGGUUUACCCAUUGGUCAGAUUUAAUUGUCUGUACUGGUAAGAUAAAUCUCUACCUUCUGAGGAACUUUCAUGCCAUUUAUUUGGUGUGAUUGGAAAUCAGGACUAUUACUUUAAAAAAAUUAGAGUGUUUAAAGCAGGCUAACGUCUGAAUAUAUUAGCAUAGAAUAAUGAAAUAGGAUGGUUUAGUUCUAUUUCGUUGGUUUCUAGGAUCACCGUAAUGAUUAAUAGGGAUAGUUGGG
rnacentral:rRNA from 1 species